GACGAACCGUGCGAACGUUGUUCGGAAUCACUGGGCUUAAAGGGCGCGUAGGCGGGCUCGCCAGUCAGGGGUGAAAGCCCACGGCUCAACCGUGGAAGUGCCUUUGAUACUGCGAGUCUCGAGCGAGGUAGGGGCGUGCGGAACUUCCGGUGGAGCGGUGAAAUGCGUAGAUAUCGGAAGGAACACCGGUGGCGAAAGCGGCGCGCUGGACCUCUUCUGACGCUGAGGCGCGAAAGCCAGGGGAGCAAACGGA
rnacentral:rRNA from 1 species